GCGCGCGCCUUUAGACGCCAACGGCUGUAGACCCAGGAUUUUGGAGUCUUCGCUGAGAAAGGGAGCGAUCUCAGGAAAGCUGCUUUGCCAUUUCUACUGAGUGCCUACCCCUUGCUGAGGGCAAACAUUGAGGAAAUGAGUCACAGAGAAGAAUGGAGAUUUGCUGAGAACAUUCCAGGGACUCUGCCUCCCACACUCUAGCCAGAAGACAAAAUGAUGCUCCAAAGAUAGAAAUUUCAAGUGAGUAUUUAGUCUUUUAUAUAUCAAACUAAUGGAAACUUGUGACUAAAAUAUGUUCUCACACUGAAAAUUUGGGCUUAAAUAACCAGUUUUUAAGGUGGGACGUUAAAAUAGCCAUUGGACUGUGGAACCACACUUAAUUGUGUGAUUAUUUAGAAAAAAAAAAAGCCAUACCACUUUGAAAGUAUUGAAGACAAGUAGCAGGAAUAUAUUAUGGUAUUUUGGACCCAGAAACUAGUUUCAGGAAUAAAAAUUUUACAGACAGCCAAGAGAUUUUAGAACUAUUUUCAAGGGUGUUUACUGGAAAAUGAAGGUAUUCAGAACCAUGACUAUUGAUGAUUAAGCUACAAAAUUUCAUGCCCAUUGUAAGUACAUGAUUUAAGGAGAAAACAAGUAGAUAAAAAUAUGUAAUCAACCUAUGACAUCAAAUAAAAAUUUUAGAACAAAUGUUCAUAAUGUGCCAUUUUUGCAAUUGCUUACCCCUUCUAAGGGGAUUUCAAAUCUAGCCCUUUGUGGCUUCAAGGGUUGCUUGUCUGUUCAUAGAAACUUUUGUUGUACAAUCUGGAAUGAGCUUGAUUUUACUCUGAGACACUAUUGUGAACUAGGAUAUAAACAAGGCUCAAUAGGAAAUUUUAGAUCUUAAAGAAAAGCUGAGAAAUUUGGCUCAAAAAAUGGAACAGAUUGAAACAAUUUUUACCAAAGGAAUAUGAGACAGUAAAGGAAAUUGAUUCAGAAGAAGACGACUAGUAUCAUUUUGAAAAGCUAGCUAUGAAGCACAAGGUGUGCAGUUCUUGUUAUAACGAUUGAGUGUGCUGCUGUAAUGCGAAAACAUGUGCCAGGCUGAUAAAAGUAGUUCCCUGGAUUUUAAAAUGAUAGUGACACUGUCUUAUACUGAGUUGCAUGUGAAAGAGAUUUUCUCCUUUAAAAAUUGUACCAAAACCAGUGGGAGAAACAAACCAACCAAAGGGCGUUAGGAGUUUCAUGCUUGGGAAUAAUGUACAUUGUAAGUUUUGAAAUGCCUCCUAGGACUAAAGUGUUG